UACGUAGGGGGCAAGCGUUGUCCGGAAUCAUUGGGCGUAAAGCGCGUGUAGGCGGUCCGGUAAGUCGGUUGUGAAAGUCCAGGGCUCAACCCUGGGAUGCCGAUCGAUACUGCCGGACUAGAGUCCGGAAGAGGCGAGUGGAAUUCCCGGUGUAGCGGUGAAAUGCGCAGAUAUCAGGAGGAACACCGGUGGUGAAGACGGUCUCCUGGGCCGAGGGCCGACGCUGAGGCGCGAGAGCGUGGGGAGCGAACCGG
rnacentral:rRNA from 1 species